CGAACGCUGGCGGCGUGCUUAACACAUGCAAGUCGAACGCGAAAGGGACUUCGGUCCUGAGUAAAGUGGCGGCACGGGUGAGUAACGCGUAGAUAACCUGUCUUCAUGUCUGGAAUAAUACGCCGAAAGGGGUACUAAUACCGGAUAUUCUUGCUUUUCAUAAGUUAUGCAAGCAAAGGUGGCCUCUGCAUAUGCUACUGCAUGAAGAGGGGUCUGCGUACCAUUAGCUAGUAGGUGGGGUAAUGGCCUACCUAGGCGACGAUGGUUAGCGGGUCUGAGAGGAUGAUCCGCCACACUGGCACUGGAACACGGGCCAGACUCCUACGGGAGGCAGCAGUGAGGAAUAUUGCGCAAUGGGGGAAACCCUGACGCAGCGACGCCGCGUGAGUGAAGGAAGGCCUUCGGGUCGUAAAGCUCUGUCAAGAGGAAAGAAGUGUACAAUGGCUAAUACCUGUUGUAUUUGACGGUACCUCUAAAGGAAGCACCGGCUAACUCCGUGCCAGCAGCAGC
rnacentral:rRNA from 1 species